GACGAACGCUGGCGGCGUGCCUAACACAUGCAAGUCGAGCGAAUGAAGUUCCUUCGGGAAUGGAUUUAGCGGCGGACGGGUGAGUAACACGUGGGCAACCUGCCUCAUAGAGGGGAAUAGCCUCCCGAAAGGGAGAUUAAUACCGCAUAAGAUUGUAGUACCGCAUGAUACAGCAAUUAAAGGAGCAAUCCGCUAUGAGAUGGGCCCGCGGCGCAUUAGCUAGUUGGUGAGGUAAUGGCUCACCAAGGCGACGAUGCGUAGCCGACCUGAGAGGGUGAUCGGCCACAUUGGGACAGGGACACGGCCCAGACGCCUAGGGGAGGCAGCAGGGGGGAAUAUUGGACAAGGGGGGAAACCCUGAUGCAGCAAGGCCGCGGGAGUGAUGACGGCCUUCGGGUUGUAAAGCUCUGUCGUCAGGGACGAUAAGGAGGGUACCGGAGGAGGAAGCCACGGCUAAUUACUG
rnacentral:rRNA from 1 species